rnacentral:rRNA from 1 species
AUUGAACGCUGGCGGCAGGCCUAACACAUGCAAGUCGAGCGGCAGCGACUUAACUGAACCUUCGGGGAACGUUAAGGGCGGCGAGCGGCGGACGGGUGAGUAAUGCCUGGGAAUAUGCCCUGAUGUGGGGGAUAACUAUUGGAAACGAUAGCUAAUACCGCAUAAUCUCUUCGGAGCAAAGAGGGGGACCUUCGGGCCUCUCGCGUCAGGAUUAGCCCAGGUGGGAUUAGCUUGUUGGUGAGGUAAUGGCUCACCAAGGCAACGAUCCCUAGCUGGUCUGAGAGGAUGAUCAGCCACACUGGAACUGAGACACGGUCCAGACUCCUACGGGAGGCAGCAGUGGGGAAUAUUGCACAAUGGGGGAAACCCUGAUGCAGCCAUGCCGCGUGUGUGAAGAAGGCCUUCGGGUUGUAAAGCACUUUCAGUGGGGAGGAAGGUAGUGUAGUUAACACCUGCAUUAUUUGACGUUACCUACAGAAGAAGCACCGGCUAACUCCGUGCCAGCAGCCGCGGUAAUACGGAGGGUGCGAGCGUUAAUCGGAAUUACUGGGCGUAAAGCGCAUGCAGGCGGCCUGUUAAGUCAGAUGUGAAAGCCCGGGGCUUAACCUCGGAAUUGCAUUUGAAACUGGCAGGCUAGAGUCUUGUAGAGGGGGGUAGAAUUUCAGGUGUAGCGGUGAAAUGCGUAGAGAUCUGAAGGAAUACCAGUGGCGAAGGCGGCCCCCUGGACAAAGACUGACGCUCAGAUGCGAAAGCGUGGGGAGCAAACAGG